rnacentral:misc_RNA from 1 species
AGAUCGUAGUCUUAACCUAGGUGGAAUGAAGGAAGCAAGUCUGUGUUGCUCAUCCUUGUUAGUUUGGGACUGAGGCUUUAUUGAGUUGAAUAUUAGUGUGUUAUAAAACAGAACCUAUGUAGAACUUUUAUGAUGAUCAGCUUUUUAACUUUGGGAUGCUUACUUCCAAAAAUUUUGUGGAUAUCAUUCAAACCAAAGUGCAUCUUUAGGCCUUUAUGUUAAUGCUGUGAUUAUUGACUUUAAACAAUGUGAAACAACUGAUU